UUAUGCAACUCAAUGUGAUAAUUCUCGUGCUUCAACAGAUGUAAAUCCCGCUAUGCAAUGUGGCAGUUCUAAUGUAGAUGAUGAAGAAUGCAUUGAUAGUUUUAAUAUUUUUUCAACGUUUUCUAACACUCAAAGUAGUAGCAGGAAUUUUGAUGAACUUCAAUUUUACUUGCAGAAGCAAAAGGAGCCUCGCACCAAGGAAUUCUCA
rnacentral:lncRNA from 1 species